UACGAAGGGGGCUAGCGUUGCUCGGAAUCACUGGGCGUAAAGCGCACGUAGGCGGCCUCUUAAGUCAGGGGUGAAAUCCCGGGGCUCAACCCCGGAACUGCCUUUGAUACUGGGUGUCUAGAGUCCGGAAGAGGUGAGUGGAAUUCCGAGUGUAGAGGUGAAAUUCGUAGAUAUUCGGAGGAACACCAGUGGCGAAGGCGGCUCACUGGUCCGGUACUAACGCUGAGGUGCGAAAGCGUGGGGAGCAAACAGG
rnacentral:misc_RNA from 1 species